CUUCCGGAGCUAACGCGUUAAGUAGACCGCCUGGGGAGUACGGCCGCAAGGUUAAAACUCAAAUGAAUUGACGGGGGCCCGCACAAGCGGUGGAGCAUGUGGUUUAAUUCGAUGCAACGCGAAGAACCUUACCUGGUCUUGACAUCCACAGAAYUYUSCAGAGAUGCGGAAGUGCCUUCGGGAACUGUGAGACAGGUGCUGCAUGGCUGUCGUCAGCUCGUGUUGUGAAAUGUUGGGUUAAGUCCCGCAACGAGCGCAACCCUUAUCCUUUGUUGCCAGCGGUYMGGCCGGGAACUCAAAGGAGACUGCCAGUGAUAAACUGGAGGAAGGUGGGGAUGACGUCAAGUCAUCAUGGCCCUUACGACCAGGGCUACACACGUGCUACAAUGGCGCAUACAAAGAGAAGCGACCUCGCGAGAGCAAGCGGACCUCAUAAA
rnacentral:rRNA from 1 species